rnacentral:lncRNA from 1 species
CCACGGGCGCAUUCCACAACGAAAAUUUAUUAGUAGCUGGCAUAGUCACUGGACUACUCGUCCUCACUAGUGCUGCCAUCGUCACUGCUGCUACGGUCCCACAGCACGUCGUCGUCCAGCGAAAUUCCGCAUUUGCAUGCAUAAGUGCGCUUGCAUACAUAAGUCCACGCCGAAAGCACCCAACCACACACAGCCGUCAGGGAGGCUCUUCUGCCGCCAGCGACUCGUACUCACGGCGGAGAAGGUCCUUAAAAAGCGAAGAUCCAGGCUUGUGUCAUGACCAUGUCGUACGUCACUGGCAGGGACCGAUCACACAUUUCAGCGAUGUACGCCGCAAGCUUGGCCUCCAGCUCCGGAAAGCGUCCCGACUCCGGCCCGCGGAAACCUCUUCGUUUGCCGUCACAGCCUGCCAACACCACAUAUCACCACUCCAAGGAUAAUGCUCAUGACCAUGGCUCUCACAUGCUUUGAGAUAAACUGCCAUUCAGAGGUAAGCAAGGUACCACUGUAAUAUAACUGAAAUGUUUUGGGGCAAGUGAAAAAAAAAAAAAUUUAGUGUAACGCAUUUGUCGAGUUCCAGUAUGUCUUUAUUUAGAUUAAAUAAAACAGUACAAGAACUGACAUUUGUAAUCAUGGAACACUGCUCUCACUCUUAACACUAAUACUCUCAAUGCAUCAUGUAACUUUCACUUUGUUAGCUAAGGUGUGAAUCUGUCAAACUUUUUUUGUGUGGUCUGAAUGCAAUGCCAUAAAAACCUACUGCUGCUAAUCUUUUCAUUCUUUUGCCAUUUCUUGCAGAAAAGUUUGCAUGCCAGCAUCAGCAGACUUGAUCACAGUAUUGAUCGGCACAAGCAACAAGCCUCACAGAAGGAAAUCAAAUACUUUGUUCUUCCUUGUUUCCUCCAAAACCCUGAUACUGCAUUAACGCUUAGCCGCAUCAAACACAUUGCGGGUACCUGCUUAAUAGCCUCUUCCCAGGUGCUCUAGCAAGGUUUCACACCAUAAAACAUUUCCAUGUACUUAGGCAUGUACAGUUCAUAUACAAAAUUAAAUGCUAGUCGCUAUUCCACAUAUCUUCACAUAAGGUUUUUGUAACAGAUUGAUGUGCCUGUUAUGUACACCAUAUUUUACAGGAUGUUCCCAAAAAGACAAGACAGAAAUGGACGACAGCCCUCUAAGCGAAACAGCAAUUGCAGGAUGAGCAACCACACUCGAGAGAGCAGCGGCUGCCAAGCAGGCAACCAAAUGCCUGCUUAGCCCCACCAACCAGAGAGUGAAAGAACAAGAACCAAGCAGAACAAGAUGCAGAAGUAAUGCCAAGCAGUAGUUCCCUCCAACCCAGAGCAGUACUGCACAAGUUCCAGGAUCACACCUUGCACUAAAGAUAACAAAGUCUAGAUACAGCAGUUAAGCAAGGUAUGCGCACAAUUGCGUUAAAAUAAACGCAAGAUGCAGUGUGUUCAUGA